AAAAGCGAAAUCGGAGCUCCUUAGAUUACCCACAUUUAAUUAGCCAGAGAGCUGUAGAAGACAAAGGUGGCGAAGCUCCAGACCAUUCAGAAUGCUGCACUUACCACUGCUAAGGAAUACAUUCUGAUGCCGCCUAAGCACCAUUUACCUAGCGAGACCCUUAUUCUCCCAUUUAAGAAGUAUAGCAUCAUGAUAAGCAAUCAUUACUACCGUAGUGACCAACGUUUCAGGUACAUGCUUGAAGGCGUGCCUCCUACCAGGCUUGUCAAAAGCCAUACGUAUAUCUCAAAGACCUAGUUCAGUUAGAAGUGCGCCAUCUAUGGAGUCAGAUCAUAAACGGCAUUCGGCGAGAGUUAAUUAACAACUCUCGUCCCAUGAAGGCUGCCAUCGGAUUCCAAACACCACUUAUUGCCGACGAAGAGUUGGAGUUCCAUCAUGAAACCCGACUUUCUUUGGAAAAUACCGUUUUUGAUAUUGUAGCGGGUUGAACUAUACAUACAUAUAUCGAGUCAACCCCUACAUAUUCAACGUAUGCCGCAAGUUCUCCUCUUCAGAUGCACACUCAAGCUAACUCAUCUAACAACCCUUUACCAAUGUUCCAAUACCGUUUGACUGUCUGUUUCCUGGGAUAAUAUGUAUAUGUGCCUUCAGUCAUUAUCAUGUCCCUCAAUUUCACAAUUAACACUCAUUCAGUCUCACACAAUCGCCACAUCUCACUUAGCAGCAGAGCAUUGCAUACACAACGCUAUUUAUCGAUUUCAUCAUUUUAAUUAGCUAUUCGUCUAAUUAUCAUUAUUAUUUUGAGCAAACAAUUAUAUUCGUUUGAUUCGUAGGCUGACAACUGAAUUCUAUUGAACUGUGGCUUCGUAAAUAUGUAAAUAAAAAUAUGUACAUCAAUCGAUUAAUCUAUUCCACGAUUUUCUAAUAGAGGUUAAGUUGCAUAUAAAAAGAUGAGUUGUUUUAGACAUUGGGAACAUUUUCUGAAACUAUUUAUGUAAUCAACAAAGAGAAAAUCUUUAAAGGCGAGCGAGGAAGAGGCUUUGAAGUAGUCAGCUUAGAAUUAAACACAUCACUAGUAUUUAAACAUAAUAUUUCCUUCCAAAGUUUCACAGACUUGAUAGACUUCAGAAUCUUUGCUAUAUGCCAAAAACUGGCAGCUUAUAGAAGUCGUUUUCGUGACCUAGCAGAUAUUACCGGCUGGCUUCCGGUUUCCAGGAAACACGUCCCAGAAAUCUAUAGAGUCCCACGAAUCUAUAGAGUGUAUUUAACGAAAUAUCUUACCAGGAUAUAGAAUACAUAUUUAACUCUCAACCUCAAAAUGAAAGACGUAGACCUCAAUACUAGUUGAGUGAAAUUUUGUGGAUUAAAUUUUUUAGACUUCUUUUGCGCAUAUUUGAUUCUAAAGAGGGUUUGGUGAUUAGUUUCUCGCAAAAUGUCAAGUCAUUUUGUUCGGAGCCAUAAAUGUAGACGAAACUAGUAUCUAUUCACCACGAAGACGGCCGUCGAAGUUGAAGGUAAGGGGAUCGAAAAGUAAAUCAAACACAUGGGUUUUGUAUAAGCCGACUACCACUGUCCGAUGCUGGUCAGGCGAAGAUCUAGAACUCUCUCUGUAGUCAUUUUUGCAGCGAGCUUCGCCUGAAAUCAAGUGAGGUCGGAACAUCGAGGAAACUCUUCAGGUACAACAAAUAGUUUCAGGGUAUAGUGAUAGAUUUUCAGCCCUGUGGUAUCAUA